AACAAGCGGGCGGCCUUUGUGGGGACGUUCUGAAUGCGGCCAUUGACCAGCUCGCGAGCUAGCCGUCUCCACGUCCGGAAUGAAAUCGGGCGUCGGCCACAAUUUUAUGCGAUCGAGUACCCCUGAGCAACGCCUCCCUCGACGCUACAAACGCUUAGCGCGCCUCCCUCGACGCUACAAACGCUUAGCGCGCACGGUCGCCAGUGUGUGCUCAUGGCCGCUUGCCAACACCACUGUAGCGACGGCAAAAACUCAAUCGGGUAACAGAAAACCGUCCGCUUCCCUUCUAAGAUGCUCGUUUAUCACCGCCAUGCCACAGUGAAACUCCUCUACAAUGAAACGUACAUGGGCGAAAAUA